ACUCACGCAAAGUUGCACUUCAGGACUGCCAGCGGCCGAGACAUCCGACAGACCAGGAGUCUUCUCAGCCUCCUGCCAGCACGAGCCAUGUUCCUUCCAGACCCACUUCAAAGCCCAGACACUUCGGCCAAGUUGCUGGACACCACAGGGCUUCAGGGUCCUCAUCCACACAGGGAAAACAAUACCUGCCUUCCUGGGUCGUUCGCUGUAGGAUGAGGGCUCGUCGUGGUAAAAUACCCCAAAUAGGGACCCACAUACAGUAGGCACUGGGUACACGGGAGGUGACAGAGACUGGAACUUGGGACUUUCUCUGCGUUUUCUCAUGGUCAGCGUUCCUGAAGUCCCACCAAGACAAGGACUAGACCUGGGAGGACACCGCAACUCCACAGUCCACAUGCCGCCCUCCACACCGGGCCCCCUCCAGAGAGCAGGGCUCCACUCAGCACUCUCAACAAAAGGCCUCUCUUCCUCAGCAGAGAACACACCCAGCACUGCCCCCACCCCGAAGCCGGCUGCAUCCCAACCACCAAAGCAUGCCAGAAUCCCAGGGGACUACACACAGAACCAAGACAGUAUGCCACCACCUCUGCUACCACCCACCCCAGAACCAGGGACAGAUCUUCCCAAAUCACAGAGCUGGUGGGGCCUCCCUGAUACCCAGGACGAUGUAUCAGGCACCCCAGCCUUUGGGAUCCGGUCCCACUUGCUGCCUGCCUUUUGCACACACCCAUGAGCUGCCCACUCGCCCUCUCGGUGCCUCCCUUUGGGCAGCGCAUUUUCACACCUCCAUGCCCUUGCUGGUGCCAUUCCUGCUUCUUGGAAUACCUGCCGUUUAUUCUCUCCCCAUAAAAUAUCUUUUCAGAUCCAGCCCAAGUCUAAUCCCCUCAGCAUUCCACAGCAUUGUAUUUAGAUCUGCUUCAUACUGAUCACCAUACUGAACUGUCAUCUUUUGUCUUUGACCUUGGUGUGUUCAGCAUGGCUACAGCCUGCACGUGCCAAUGUUGGCCUUUUGCUGUCAGGUGGAUGCUCACAGCCACUUUGGAAAGUGGGUUUUAACCCAGGUUCUCUAGAGAAAAGAAACUAAGUCUCAUCACAGCUGAGUGAGGGGCCCCAGGUCACAGGGCUGGUAAGUGGCAGAGUCAAGAUGCACACCCGGGUCCGUCUGACCCCAGAGCGUGUGCUGGGGUCCAGACUCACAACUGGCUGCCCCUCACACAGGGAUGGCAGACCCUGUGGUGACCAUCCCUGGGAAGGAGCCUGAGCCAGCCCUGUCUAAUCAUUCCGCCUGCACCUGGGAUUGCCAGCAAGCCAGCCCGGGAGGCCAAGCUGAAGGCCUUCGAGGGCAGGAAAUGGCCCAGAAGAAAGAGGCUGCACACAGCGAGAAAACCUCGCUCACCCCAUAGUGUUGGGUGACCGUCCACUUACCCUCAUGGGACCCCUGCAGCAGAGGUGAGCUGUGCGGCUUCAUCUGCCUGGACUUAAUUCAGGCUUUGAGAAAAACCUUAGGAAGCUGGGCCUACACCCCUCAAACAAAGAGCCCCAGCAUUCCCCUUGACAGCCAGAUUUUCACAAAAACGCCAGUGAGUCUUGGUUUCCUCCCUCAGGGUCAUAGGUGGGGGUCAGGGAGUGGGAGUGGGUUAAACUGUAGACACAGAGAAUUGUCAGACAAAGCAGAAACCUCAAGUGACUUUUGAGUACCUGGGGAGGAGGCAGGCAGCAAAACUACAUGAUGAGGACGGGCGCGGUGGCUCACGCCUGGAAUCCCAGCACUUUAGUAGGCCAAGGUGGGCGGAUCACCUGAGGUCAGGAGUUGGAGACCAGCCUGGCCAACAUGGUGAAACCCCAUCUCUACUAAAAAUACAAAAAUUAGCUGGGCAUGGUGGCACGCACCUAUAAUCCCAGCUACUCAGGAGGCUGAGGCAGGAGAAUUGCUUGAACCCAGGAGGCGGAGGUUGCGGUGAGCUGAGAUCACACCACUGCACUCCAGCCUGGGUGACAAAGUGAGACUCUGCCUUAAAAAAAAAGAAAAAAAAAAAAAAAACUAUAUGACCAGUAAUGUUCAAGCCAGACACAGAGAACCGGAGGUGCCCAGGCCAAGGAGGGAAAGGUCCGCAAGGUAGGGAGCUGUGUGAGCACACUCAAGGUGCAGGGCGCUGGGCCACGCGACGCAGAAAGCAGCUCUGUUUGCUAUAGAAUGAGGCAGGUCGGGGGAAAUGGGAAAUGCAACCGGAGAGGCAAAUAUAUACCCAAGAGCAUUCCACAAAAGGGGUCUCCAUCCAGUGCAGGCCUGGCUCAUUCCACAGGGCUGUCCUUACUCCCGCACACUCGCCCUCCUGACCCAGGGUAAGUGUUAGGUGUGCAGAAGACACCCUGCUCCCGAGGUGCUUUCCUGGGGAAGCCCUGGAAGAGUAUCAGGAUGACCCAAGACCUCACCGCAUCUGGCAACCCAGAAAUGGUAUCGUUACAGCAAGAAAUGAGAGCACGGCUUCACCGUCAACUUCUCAACAACAUUUAUUCACUUGUUCCUUCCUCCCUUCCUUCACAGAUGCACGAUGUGUCUACUCUGUGCCAGGCCCUAUGCCAAGAGGAGGGACACACAAAGAAAUGAAGGUCUGUCCUCAUGGAGCAUAAAGUCUAGAGCAAGAGGCCAAUGACUCCAGGAACAUCUAGGCAGGGUUCAGGCCACUCAGUCACUAGUGAAGGGUGUGCCAAGCAGUGUGGAACCCAGAGGAGGGAGAGGCUGACAUCCUCGGGGGACCAGGAAAGAUUCUCCAAGGAAGAGACCCUGGUGUUCAUUCAGAAUGGAAAAUAAGAGUGCAUCAUGCACAGUGGCUCACGCCUGUAAUCCCAGCACUUUGGGAGGCCAAGGCAUGCACAUCACCUGAGGUCAGGAGUUCAAGACCAGCCUGGCCAACAUGGUGAAACCUCGUCUCUACUAAAAAUACAAAAAUUAGCCAGCAUGGUGGCAGGUGCCUGUAGUCCCAGCUACUUGGGAGGCUGAGGGAGGAGAAUUGCUUGAACCUUGGAGGCGGAGGUUGCAGUGAGCCGAGGUCGCACCACUGCACUCCAGCCUGGGUGAUGGAACAAGACUCCGUCUCAAAAAAAAGUGCAUCAUGCAGAGAAGGGAGGGAAAGCGCAUGCCUGGCAGAGGUACUGCAUGCCUAAAGGCGGAGGUGGGACUCCAGACUCAAAGAAAGGAAGAACUGAAGGCAAAAUUGAAAAGGGAGAGGUUCAGAAAACACGCAAGAAACUUAGCUGGAUAUAGAGCAAAUUCCAUUGCUGUAAAUCCCAUCAUAGUGAAAACUUUCCUAUUUCGUCCAUGAAAAAUUUCAAGCCCACACUCAAGGCCUACUCAAGUCAAGAACUGUUCAGUAUUAAGGAAAAUCUCAAUAUAACAAAAGGAUGCAUGUGAACCCUUCAGAGGACCACCUUCCCAAGCUGCUUUCCAUAAGGUAUAAAGGAAUGAAACUUAAAAUCCAGUCUAUGAAGAUCACUAGCAAGGAAGGUGGCUUCUAGGUUACCCUCUCCGGCAGGAGUUAAACGAUUCCAGCAAGCCUCACAUCUGAAUACCCUAGGCCUGUGAAUCCACCUUCAGAAACAAGACAGUCCAGGCUGUCGGUGGAACAGGGAAGUAUUAAAACUGAACUAUGGCUGCAUGCACCCGAGAUUUCCCAAAACAGUCUGUGUUUCAACCGUUCAAUUCUUUGGUUAGCCCAGGUGUGCAGUUUCAGGCUCAGGAAACAGCCACCCAACCCCAAAAUAAAGCAACAUUGCCAGCCGCAGGGGUAUCAUGGCACAGGGUGAAAACAGUGGUGUUUGUCAGUAAGAUGGAAGAGCCGGGGCAGGACGCACAGAGCAAUUUUCCAUGUGGCAAGUCAUCUGCAGCAUUUGUGAAAAGCUACAGCACAUUCCUAGAGGUUGUCUUUAGAGGUCCCGCCUUCGGAUAAGGCACAGAAAUCCACUGGAAAUAAUAAAGAAUGCGUUGUCAGAGUCCCUUGAAAUCUGCUUUCUGUGAACUUCCCUGAAAAGGGCCUACGCUGUUCCAGUGGGUUUUGGUGGGCCGAUAGCUGAGCUCACUUUGAUGGUGACGUUCCCCCACGCCGCCCAACAUGAGAGUUUUCUGAAAGGAUUCUAGAACUCUGGGGACAGGAAUUUUGCAGAGAAUGUGAAAGAGAAGCACAGAGCAAACCAUCCUUAUCAUUUAAUGGACAAAUAAAGAGGGAGUUAGGAGAUAAACAGGCAAAAAAAAAAAAAAGGCCAGGAGUCGGCUGCAGGUGUGUGAGCGGGGAUCAGUGUGUAGCUGUUUCUCACUCACACGUGGGAUCUCAGUCUCCCCAGAAGCACCCCAUGCAGGCCUUCCUCCUCCUCCUCCUGGAGACAGGAAGUCUCCCCUCUCCAUAAUUCAAGACUUCCUUCACCAGGCAAGCCUCCAUCUUUCCUUUCUUUAAAUCCACAAAAAAUCUCGACAUUCCACCCCAAGAAGUAUGGCAGAGCAGUAAAUCUCAUUUUAAUGGAGUGUACGUUUAGCUCCAAGGAGAUAAUUGACGUUAUGGAGAGCCUCGAUACCGAGUUAUAUAGGUUAGCUAAUGCAGAGGGGACUCAUUACUGACACACUACAAACAAGUAGUAAUAUAUGUAUAUUGUUCUGAGUGGCGUUAGAGCAAAAGUGUUCCGGUCUGCGGGGAUUGAUAAAGCACAAGAAAACAGCAGAUAUGCACUUGUAAAUUUGUCUCAUUUGUCUCUGAAGUUAAAGGUUAUUCCCUUGUUCUGAAUUUGUAAUAAAAACAUGCUAGCCCAGGG
rnacentral:lncRNA from 1 species